rnacentral:rRNA from 1 species
GUGUCAGCAGCCGCGGUAAUACGAAGGGACCUAGCGUAGUUCGGAAUUACUGGGCUUAAAGAGUUCGUAGGUGGUUGAAAAAGUUAGUGGUGAAAUCCCAGAGCUUAACUCUGGAACUGCCAUUAAAACUUUUCAGCUAGAGUAUGAUAGAGGAAAGCAGAAUUUCUAGUGUAGAGGUGAAAUUCGUAGAUAUUAGAAAGAAUACCAAUUGCGAAGGCAGCUUUCUGGAUCAUUACUGACACUGAGGAACGAAAGCAUGGGUAGCGAAGAGGAUUAGAUACCCUCGUAGUCCAUGCCGUAAACGAUGUGUGUUAGACGUUGGAAAUUUAUUUUCAGUGUCGCAGGGAAACCGAUAAACACACCGCCUGGGGAGUACGACCGCAAGGUUAAAACUUAAAUGAAUUGACGGGG